rnacentral:lncRNA from 1 species
GCUGCAUCAUAAACAAGCCGCAAGCCAGACCCUUCUGCUAGAUUAUCCGCGAGACUAGACGGCGGGGAGGCUGGAGCGCCGGGGCCGGCACCGCCGCGGGGACCAACGCACGCGCCAUCCCCUCGCUCCGCGCUGCCGCCCCGCGCGUUUUCAGUACUAAUCGCACUUGGUCCAUCACUCUGCACAGAAGCGGUCGAAGGAGGACAACGGCGGCGGCGGAUCGGCGCGGGCGGGAGCAGCGCUGGGAAUCCGGAACAGCUCCGCGCGCCCGGGACCUGCCUGCGGCGCGGCCCCGCCGGGUCCCACCUCCGCUCCGCUCCGGCUUCACCCGUGCUGCUCGCGCGCGCGCUUGCGACAGGCAAAGAAAGGGCGAGUCCGAAAACCAAGACGGCAGCCGCAAACUCUCCAGAAGCAGCAGCUGCCUUGACAGAAAUUAGARCUUCUCAGCCCAGAAGGAGGGAGCGAAGACAACAGAAGCGUUUCAGCUGCGCAGCAAUCACGGGUUGAGGAAAGGAGCCUGGAAAAUUAAAGGGGCAGGAGCAUCGGUGUCGCCGAUUUUACCGGGCGCUGUCGGCCGACGGAGGAAUGCCGCACGCGAGGAUCACGCGCGGGAGCCGCGGCAGAAGGCUGCGGAGGCGCGUCCGUGCCUGGGUGCCGGGAGGGACGGCGCGGCACCGGACAUCUAUGGAUCGCCCUGCAUUUAGAGCCACGCUAUUUUUAAAGCCUUAAAUCAUGCCCCAGCUCUUACUACUGUUUUAAAUUGUCACUUAGCCUCUUAGAAGUUUAUCAUGCGCUAAUUCAUUCAGCUCGUUCAUUUACAUUCUGCUGAUGGGGUACAAAAUUGCUUCUUUUCAUCCCAGAAAGCUCUGGCUUCUGCAAUUUAUGGUGCCUUUUUGAUUUAAUCAGGAUAUUCCCUCAACUGCCAUGCUAAUAAUAAGACAUUUUUCAAGAAGCACCUG